CUUACCCCUCCCACCUCCAUGGCAGUGGUCUGGCCUGUGCGGCUGGGAGCCGACGUCUACUCAAGAAAGGUCACCAUUCUUUGCCAGCAAAUAAGGGUCCAGGCAAUGCCAAUGCUGUUGGUCUGGGGACGUCCCCGGGAGCGACACUGGACCAGAGAGGACAACAGCUAUCCUGGGCUUCCAGGCAGCAGAUGAAUAAAGCACCUCAGUUAAACUGCAGGGGACUCUGGGUCAUCAACUUAGCCGGAGCUGGAAAACUUCGUGAUUUCUGCACCCUGGGAUAUCAUCUCAGUCUCUGUCUAAGAAUGUCCUAAAGAAAUUCAAUCACAUAUGGAAGUCUUAAGAACCCUCUGAAGCACUCCCCCUGCUUGUGUUCCCUCUCUCGCUGUGUCUCUCUGUCAAAUAAAUAAAUAAAAUCUUAAAAAAAAAAAAAAAAAGAAGGGGGGGCGCCUGGGUGGCUCAGCUGUUAAGCGUCUGCCUUCGGCUCAGGUCAUGAUCCGGGGUCCUGGGAUCGAGCCCCGCAUCGGGCUCCCUGCUCGGCGGGAAGCCUGCUUCUCCGUCUCCCACUCCCCCUGCUUGUGUUCCCUCUCUCGCUGUGUCUCUCUCUGUCAAAUAAAUAAAUAAAAUCUUUAAAAAUAAAAAGAAACCAUGUGAAGCAACAAUACCUGACAAAUUCAAACCUGUCCUCUCAAUGAACAUGUAACUCAAGAGGUAAAGGCACAAUCUUUGAACCAUGGACAUGAUAUUCUACUAGUAUAUCUUUCCUGACACGUGUGACUCACUGUAGGAGACCGCUGGCCAGAG